UACAGAGGUCUCAAGCGUUGUUCGGAUUCAUUGGGCGUAAAGGGUGUGUAGGUGGCGCCGUAAGUCAGGUGUGAAAUCUCCGAGCUUAACUCGGAAAGGUCAACUGAUACUGUGCGGCUAGAGUGCGGAAGGGGCAACUGGAAUUCUUGGUGUAGCGGUGAAAUGCGUAGAUAUCAAGAGGAACACCUGCGGCGAAGGCGGGUUGCUGGGCCGACACUGACGCUGAGGCGCGAAAGCCAGGGGAGCGAACGGG
rnacentral:rRNA from 1 species